rnacentral:sRNA from 1 species
AUGUACCCACGUACAUUCCGGGUUCCUCCGCGCCGUCCGCACCCACCUGACGACUGCUCGCUACGUUUUGUUAGCC